rnacentral:rRNA from 1 species
CAUGCAAGUCAACUUGACUGAAGGAGCAAUCUGACAGUAGAGUGGCGCAAGGGUGCGUAACGCGUAAGUAACUUGCCCAAGGUAAGGAAUAACGUCGAGAAAUCGGCGCUAAUACCUCAUAAUGCAGCGGAUCCGCAUGGAUAUGUUGUUAAAGGUUUACCGCCUUGGGAUAGGCUUGCGUCUGAUUAGUUAGUUGGUGUGGUAACGGCACACCAAGGCUACGAUCAGUAACUGGUCUGAGAGGAUGAUCAGUCACACUGGAACUGAGACACGGUCCAGACUCCUACGGGAGGCAGCAGUGAGGAAUAUUGGGCAAUGCUCGAAAGAGUGACCCAGCAACGCCGCGUGGAGGAUGAAGGUAUUCUAUAUCGUAAACUCCUGUGAGAGCAGACGAAAGACAGAUUAUUAAUCUGGAUGACUGUAUGCUCAGAGGAAGCCCCGGCUAACUACGUG